rnacentral:lncRNA from 10 species
AGUCAAAACUCUACCAAUUGCCAGUGGUGAAGCUGGUAUAAGCCACGUAUCUCUGAGCCAAUUUUCUUAUCAUCAAAGUGAAGACAAUAGCACCAGCCAUACCUUCCUUAGGGCGUUUUGCAGGCUAAAUGAGAUAGUGGGUGAGAAAGCAUCUUCAGAAUUGCUACCCUCUUUUGAACUAUAGUGUUGCUGUUGGUAAUAACAUAAGCAGAGCUGAAUGGGGAGUUCCUAAGCAACCAUCUGAACUCGGGUCCCUCGUUGGCUGCUCGUCAGAUUUCUCUCUUCAAUUCCAAGCGCAUCUUAUGUAAACAAUAGUGUCUAUGAUAGUGGAUGUGAUUGUGUGCUACCUGGAUCUCCUAGCUGAAAUCCUUCGAAGAAUUUCCUUCAGUCAAUGGGAGCCACCUCCCCUGAGGUUAUGGCUCCAGGUGAAGAUUAAACAGCUGUAGAAGUGUCAUCCAAGAUUGGCCAAUGCUGUUCCUGAGAGUCCUUCCUGGAGAGCCAUCUGCACACAGAUCUCAGUCUCAGAGUCUAUUUCCCAAUGAAUCUAAUCUGAGAGAUCUCUUCAUUUGCUGUUUUUUCCCUGUA